rnacentral:lncRNA from 1 species
UGAAGGCUGAAAGAACGGGCCAGAACUCUACCUUCCACACAAAGCGUAAGAAAUGCCAGCUCCCACGAAAGGAGAAACACUGCACAAAACCCA